GUGUGUGUGUGUGUGUGUGUGUGUGUGUGUGUGUGUGUGUGUGUGUGUGUGUGUGUGUGUGUGUUGAAGCUGAAGUGACUACCAAAGUGUGCAGAAUGUUGACUGCGGUGCGUUUAAAAGUAAAAAAACGCAAAAAGACUAAAUAGUGCAGAAUAUACUCGGCACUGUUUUCUUUUGUCAUCUUGCUGCUUUUUAGACUCGCGCUGCUGAAAUCAAAACAUUUGUUUUCAAUAUCUCCAGAUACUUAAGUGCUAAUUGUGAUUGUUCUCAUUUUGACUGAUGACUGAUUUCGCGUAUUUAUUAUCACUUGAUUCUGAGGGCUUUCAAUUGUUCAGUUUGAGCUUCUAGCAUUCAAUAAAUGACGACCUUUUGAGUCACAAGGCA